rnacentral:rRNA from 1 species
CCUACGGGUGGCUGCAGUAGGGAAUCUUGCACAAUGGAGGAAAGCCUGAUGCAGCAACGCCGCGUGAGUGAGGAAGUAUUUCGGUAUGUAAAGCUCUAUCAGCAGGGAAGAAAAUGACGGUACCUGACUAAGAAGCCCCGGCUAACUACGUGCCAGCAGCCGCGGUAAUACGUAGGGGGCAAGCGUUCUCCGGAUUUACUGGGUGUAAAGGGAGCGUAGACGGCUAAUCAAGUCAGAAGUGAAAACCCAGGGCUCAACCUUGGGACUGCUUUUGAAACUGAGUAGCUAGAGUGCAGGAGAGGUGAGCGGAACUCCUAGUGUAGCGGUGGAAUGCGUAGAUAUUAGGAGGAACACCAGUGGCGAAGGCGGCUUACUGGACUGCAACUGACGUUGAGGCUCGAAAGCAUGGGGAGCGAACAGGAUUAGAUACCCGAGUAGUC